UACGAAGGGGGCUAGCGUUGCUCGGAAUCACUGGGCGUAAAGGGUGCGUAGGCGGGUCUUUAAGUCAGGGGUGAAAUCCUGGAGCUCAACUCCAGAACUGCCUUUGAUACUGAAGAUCUUGAGUUCGGGAGAGGUGAGUGGAACUGCGAGUGUAGAGGUGAAAUUCGUAGAUAUUCGCAAGAACACCAGUGGCGAAGGCGGACUCACUGGCCCGAUACUGACG
rnacentral:rRNA from 1 species